CGGAGAGUAGUAUAGUGGCAGUAUGCAUGCUUUGGGAGCAUGAGGCCCGAGUCCGAUUCUCGGCUCUCCGA
rfam:Candidatus Yonathbacteria bacterium RIFOXYD1_FTLL_52_36 rifoxyd1_full_scaffold_599, whole genome shotgun sequence.